rnacentral:rRNA from 1 species
GACAGAUAGUGACACUCAGAUGAGAAAGCGUGGGGAGCACACAGGAUUAGAUACCNUGAUAGUCCACGCUGUAAACGAUGUAUACUUGGAGGUUGUGGCCUUGAGCCGUGGCUUUGGGAGAUAACGUGUUAAGUAGACCGCCUGGGGAGUACGGUCGCAAGAUUAAAACUCAAAUGAAUUGACGGGGGCCCGCACAAGCGGUGGAGCAUGUGGUUUAAUUAGAUGCAACGAGAAGAACCUUACAUACUCUUGACAUCCAGAGAAUUUAGCAGAGAUGCUUUGGCGCUUUCGGGAACUGUGAGACAGGUGCUGCAUGGCUGUUGUCAGCUUGUGUUGUGAAAUGUUGGGUUAAGUCCCGCAACGAGCGCAACCUUUAUCCUUGUUUGCCAGCAUGUAAUGGUGGGAACUCCAGGGAGACUGCCGGUGAUAAACCGGAGGAAGGUGGGGACGACGUCAAGUCAUCAUGGCCCUUACGAGUAGGGCUACACACGUGCUACAAUGGCGCAUACAGAGGGCAGCCAACCAGAGAUGGUGAGAGAAUCCCAAAAAGUGUGUUGUAGUCCGGAUUGGAGUGUGCAACUAGACUCCAUGAAGUGGGAAUCGAUAGUAAUCGAGAAUCAGAAUGUCACGGUGAAUAUGUUCCCGGGCCUUGUACACACCGCCCGUCACACCAUGGGAGUGGGCUGCAAAAGAAGUGGGUAG